CAUGCAAGUCGAGCGAACAGAUGAGGAGCUUGCUCCUUUGACGUUAGCGGCGGACGGGUGAGUAACACGUGGGUAACCUACCUAUAAGACUGGAAUAACUCCGGGAAACCGGGGCUAAUGCCGGAUAAUAUGUUGAACCGCAUGGUUCAACAGUGAAAGACGGUUUUGCUGUCACUUAUAGAUGGACCCGCGCCGUAUUAGCUAGUUGGUGAGGUAACGGCUCACCAAGGCGACGAUACGUAGCCGACCUGAGAGGGUGAUCGGCCACACUGGAACUGAGACACGGUCCAGACUCCUACGGGAGGCAGCAGUAGGGAAUCUUCCGCAAUGGGCGAAAGCCUGACGGAGCAACGCCGCGUGAGUGAUGAAGGUCUUCGGAUCGUAAAGCUCUGUUGUUAGGGAAGAACACAUGUGUAAGUCACUAUGCACAUCUUGACGGUACCUAACCAGAAAGCCACGGCUAA
rnacentral:rRNA from 1 species